UACGGGGGGGGGCAAGCGUUGUUCGGAAUUACUGGGCGUAAAGGGCUCGUAGGCGGCCAACUAAGUCAGACGUGAAAUCCCUCGGCUUAACCGGGGAACUGCGUCUGAUACUGGAUGGCUUGAGUUUGGGAGAGGGAUGCGGAAUUCCAGGUGUAGCGGUGAAAUGCGUAGAUAUCUGGAGGAACACCGGUGGCGAAGGCGGCAUCCUGGACCAACACUGACGCUGAGCGAGCGAAAGCCAGGGGAGCAAACGGG
rnacentral:rRNA from 1 species